UACGGGGGGAGCAAGCGUUGUUCGGAUUUACUGGGCGUAAAGCGCACGUAGGCGGAUUUGUAAGUCAGGGGUGAAAUCCCGGGGCUCAACCUCGGAACCGCCUUUGAUACUGCAAAUCUCGAGUCCGAUAGAGGUGGGUGGAAUUCCUAGUGUAGAGGUGAAAUUCGUAGAUAUUAGGAAGAACACCGGUGGCGAAGGCGGCCCACUGGAUCGGUACUGACGCUGAGGUGCGAAAGCGUGGGGAGCAAACAGG
rnacentral:rRNA from 1 species